AUUUAUCGGAUGGUUUUUAAAUUGUUCACGAUCAAAUGAUAAGUUAUUAACAAGGACGAUAACUUAUCAAGUGUAGGUCGCUAUAUGCCAUAUGCAUUGGUUGUCCUCGUAAUCAAGUGGUAUGGAGACACUGGUAUGGCAUCCAGGUGAGAUGUAGGAGUACAUUUGCAUUGAACAUAACCAAUAUAACACUCUACUAUCA
rnacentral:lncRNA from 1 species